rnacentral:siRNA from 1 species
AUGAACGCAGCGUCAGCGACAAC